CCUUUCAUCUUAUUUCUCAUCUGCUGGUCCCAUCAACCCUAACUUUGUAUCUGCUAAAACUCAGAAUACACAUCCCCAUCACAGAAAAGAGAAUUGAGGCUCUAAGACAUGAGUCAACUUGACCCACAAUCUCACAGCUACUUUGUGAUAAGUUCAGAAUCCAAAUCUUUCUUGUGGAGCUGAAGAGCCGACUCUUUCAUGAAGAAACUUUGAACAUCGGU